AGUCUUAUAGUCAACUAUGAUUUUAGAUUGCAAAUCUAAAGGUAAAUUUAUUUUAAGGCUU
rnacentral:tRNA from 1 species